GCUGUUGUAAACCGAGUAGAGAAAUCACAGCGACUAGGGGCCUCAUUUAUGAAACCUGUUGCACAAGAAAAGGUUGUGUUGUGUUGCAAUUUGCAGUUGCAACAACCGCGGAAAAGUCAGGACUCCAUGUGUAAAACUUCCAUGCGUAAAAAUGUGCCGUUUUGUGCAACUUUUUGACCGUGUGUGUGAUGGUGCGCUACGCUCCCAAAGGCUUUGUAGACCGCGUUUUAAGGACCUCCGAUGAUAACACCGAAUAUCACAUGGAUAAAGUAGUCUGGAUGCAGAGCGCACAGCCUGCAACCAAAACACCUGCGCCACUUAAUCACCCUGAGGAAGCCAACAUGACUCCAAUCCACUACGGGUUUUUUUUAGACUUGAUUAACCUAUCGGGACUAUAAAUAAAUAGCCCCGCAGUUCCCAAUGGCCAACCAAUCAACAGCAUGGCAGAUUAGGCAUUGCUCAAAGAUUAAGUAAGAGCACCUUGAUCUCACUAUCACUACAUCGUGUUUUUUCCACUAUUUUUCCGUUUCAUAAUUGGUCAUCAAGGGCUCCUUUACAAGGCUGGAAUAUUCAUUGGUUGAUUGAUAUGGACCUUAUAAGGACAAAUACGGGACAGCCUUGGGGGGAGCUUGAGGCGCAUAAGAUAACGCAUGUCUGAAUUUAUAACGAGAGUCUGUACAGGUGUUAUGAAGUCAAAUGUUUUUGACUUUUUAGCGCACAAAAUCUUUCAGUUUAAUAAGUGAGGUCCUUCAAGGGAUUGCGUUCUAAAUUGUAUCCAAGGUAAUCUUAUACAGCAGAGUUUGUAGCUUUGGAUGUAUCCUUGGAACUCAGACUCUUUGCAUUGCUGCUACAUAUGCAAACAAGUGACAAAGCAUUACCCACUAAGAUGCUCUCAUUUGCAUUCUUCCGGUCUGGCAGCCUGUAGGCCUCAGAGUACCACCAGAAGUUCUUCUUAACAGGUUUUUUGUUUUUAUUGGUUGGAUGACGAAAAGAGACACUUAAAGACGAGGCCCCUGCAUCAGGGAGAAACAGAUUUGGGCCGUGAUGUGCAGCGACCCUGCUGGCUGUGAUUCACUGCCUGCCCCCAUAUGCUACGACUCUUCUUGUUGUGUCCACGGGGGGACAUGACAGCUGCUGAUGUACAGCUUAAGCAUGAGUGGUCACAUCUCCACUGCUUGGCUGCCUCUCCACAAACUCUCCACACAUCUCUUAUUUACUGUCUCGCCCCGAGUCUGCAGACACCCGGCGCUACAUCUACAGUAGCUGGCAGCACUGACACUGUGGAAAUACAGCUGUGGUCUUUAGACGCCUGGAAGCAGCUGUGAGGUAUAUCCUGCACCCGGGAGGGGUUAUAGGAGAAAUAGCUGUAUCUAGUACAGUAUGUAAAUCAGACUGCAUUGUAACCCUCACUGCAGGCAAGAGAAGUAAAUAUCACGUUGUGGUGCUUUGAGUUUAAAUGCAGGUGUCACAAAAAAUGUGAGACUGGAAAAUAGUGGAAAUAAAACGAAUCCAGCGUCUGUCUCCAAAUCUAACGUCAAACUUCAUAGAGCCUCUUUGCCCCCGACUGAUCUGACUGUGCUGACAUUGUGACAUUUUCCCCUCCGUGUGAACUCCCUUCCAACUCUGCCACUGUCACCUCGAUUUCACGGUUUUGUCGGAGAAAAUGUUUCUUUCGUGUUUUUAGAAAGCAGGGAUGAAAGCCCUUUUAACGAAACCCGUUUAAUGUUAUUUUUGUACAAUGGUUGUCGCUGUUUUAAUGUGUUUUUUUAUACGAUAUACUGUCUUUCUUGUUGUAGGCCAUUUUUAAAGUCUUUUCUUUCUUUUUUGCUUUCGGGACAGGGGCUCACAUUGUCGCUCAUUGUGAGAACAUGACACAGAUUGACACGGAGCAUUUGUUUCAUAGAGGAUUAGUCUUUGCGAUGUUCAAAAACGCCUUUCUGUCUUAACAUCGCUACAAGCAGUUAAAGCAAUUAAGUCAGAAUUAAAAGAGAGGGAAAAUUCGGCAUAUAGCAUCAGGUGAAGCCCACAAAAGACGUACUACACGGUUGUCGCCGUGCUUCUCUGUACUAAAGACAUAGUUUAAUUAAAUUACUGGUAUAAUGUGCAGAAUGUCUUUUAAAACUGCCAGUGUAAGAACCAUUAUGUAUUUCUAGAGCAUGAUCUAUUAGAUGAAACCGUACAACACCGAGCUCAUGUCACUGCAGUAUAUCAGCCCUGUACGUUAGCCCCCCCCCCGAUGUAAAUAUGCCCAUUUUACAACUGAUGUAACUUCCUGUUAUACUUUACCUCUUCCUCUUCCCCACAUUUACACUGACAGUUUAAUUGGCCACCAACCCAUGCUCGUUUGUGCUCAUUUACAGACGUAUCUUCCCCCAUAUGUCAUCCAUUCGCUAAUGUUUGAUAGUUGUUCUGCCUCUGUGCAGGAGCAGUGUCAAUUUGUAUAAAUUCAUUUUGUCAGUAUGGUUUUAUCAAGACACAAUUUUUUCUGUGUAUAUAUUUUUAUUUUUUAUUUUUGCGGGGUGUACAAAGUAUUCCCUGUUAUCCAUGGAAACACUCCCCGGUAAACCCAGAGCUGGUAAAGGAAGAAUGCACAUGCAGUCAUUGGGUUUUGGGUUUUUGUCUGCUGUGAAGAAUUUUGACACAUAGAAGCUAAUUUUUAUUUUAUUUUUUUGCUACCCUCGACAUAUUAUUUCUGUAAUCUUCUCCUAAUCCUUCCCCCGUGCUACAGCUGAAUAUCUGAACAGUGGAAAUGUAUGCUCUGGAAAUGGUGUGUUUGAUGUUGUGUUCUGCUGGGUGGCACUAUCGGAUACCCGCCAGCCUUGUCCUGUGGAGUUUUCUGCUACAUGUGAAAGCACUCUGAAUAUCUAUACUAGGUGGUUCACUACCUUUAUUCUCUAAAUCAAUUAUUUUUUAAAUAAAGAAAAGAGUGUCACAAAAUCCCACGAUACCGUACGCUCAUUGCCUUUCAUUUUUAAUGACUCGGUGCUUCUGAUGUAUUCCCUUUUUGUGUCAAUGUCAGUUAUUAAGGCAGCAUUUAAACAGUGGUUUGAUUAUUUUGGGGGGUUGGAAGACUGAACUUGGCAUUAAAAAUCAAAGUGGAGUCCCAGUUUAUCCCAUGGUGUGUUGAAUGACAGAGAGCGCCACUGCCGCCUUUAAAAUGGCCUCUUUUUUUAUUUAACAAAACCUAAAGGGAUUGUUAUCCUAAAAGACGCUGAGAUGAACCAGUCCAGUGGAGCGUUUUUUUGUUUUUUUUUAAAGAACAAAAGGGAGAUGAUUAAAGUGGGAACCAUCGGCAAUUUGUCUCUCGUUUUUCCAGCGUGGAGUGAGCAGCAGAGUAUUUUUCUAUGGAGCUUUAUCCCUUUUUUAACCUAAUUGUUAUAAGGCCCAUGUGUGAUAGUAAUUGGAGUUUAUUGUGCCAUUCCAUCCUGGCUUUUUGUUUUACAUCACUGUUCCUUCUAUGCAAAAAGAAUAUGACCUAUUUUAGCCUUUGUACAGAUUAUUUUGUAUGAGUAACAUGUACUGAAAUAAAGCAAACAGAAUCAA